rnacentral:rRNA from 1 species
UAAUACGGAGGGUGCAAGCGUUAUCCGGAUUUACUGGGUUUAAAGGGUGCGUAGGUGGGCAGGUAAGUCAGUGGUGAAAUCUCCGGGCUUAACCCGGAAACUGCCAUUGAUACUAUCUGUCUUGAAUUAUCUGGAGGUGAGCGGAAUAUGUCAUGUAGCGGUGAAAUGCUUAGAUAUGACAUAGAACACCAAUUGCGAAGGCAGCUCACUACGGAUCGAUUGACACUGAGGCACGAAAGCGUGGGGAUCAAACAGGAUUAGAUACCCUGGUAGUCCACGCCCUAAACUAUGGAUACUCGACAUACGCGAUAUACUGUGUGUGUCUGAGCGAAAGCAUUAAGUAUCCCACCUGGGAAGUACGAUCGCAAGAUUG